rnacentral:rRNA from 1 species
UACGUAGGGUGCGAGCGUUAAUCGGAAUUACUGGGCGUAAAGCGUGCGCAGGCGGUUUUGUAAGCCAGAUGUGAAAGCCCCGGGCUUAACCUGGGAAUGGCAUUUGGGACUGCAAGGCUUGAGUGCGGCAGAGGAGACUGGAAUUCCUGGUGUAGCAGUGAAAUGCGUAGAUAUCAGGAGGAAUACCGAUGGCGAAGGCAGGUCUCUGGGCUGACACUGACGCUCAUGCACAAAAGCGUGGGGAGCAAACAGG